AGCGAACGCUGGCGGCGUGCCUAACACAUGCAAGUCGAACGUGAAAAGGGAAACCUGAGUCCAGUGGCGUACGGGUGAGUAACGCGUAGGUAAUCUACCCCAGAAUCUGGAAUAACCUGCCGAAAGGCGGGCUAAUACUGGAUAGAGCGAGGGAACUCGUAAGAGAGUUUUUCGGGAAAGGGAGCCCGCAAGGGCCUUCGUUCUGGGAUGAGCCUGCGUCUCAUUAGCUAGUUGGUAAGGUAACGGCUUACCAAGGCGAUGAUGAGUAGCUGGUCUGAGAGGAUGAUCAGCCACACUGGAACUGAAACACGGUCCAGACUCCUACGGGAGGCAGCAGUGGGGAAUCUUGCGCAAUGGACGAAAGUCUGACGCAGCCACGCCGCGGGAGUGAAGAAGGCCUUCGGGUUGUAAAGCUCUGUCGGAUGGGACGAACAUCUUCAUAGUGAAUAGCUAUGAGGACUGACGGUACCAUCAAAGGAAGCACCGGCUAACUCCGUG
rnacentral:rRNA from 1 species